rnacentral:rRNA from 1 species
AAACGGAGGGUGCAAGCGUUAUUCGGAAUCACUGGGCGUAAAGGACGCGUAGGCGGGUUGGCAAGUCAGAUGUGAAAUCCUACAGCUUAACUGUAGAACUGCAUUUGAAACUGCUAACCUAGAGUAUGGGAGGGGGAGAUGGAAUUAGUGGUGUAGGGGUAAAAUCCGUAGAUAUCACUAGGAAUACCGAAAGCGAAGGCGAUCUCCUGGAACAUAACUGACGCUAAGGCGUGGAAGCGUGGGGAGCAAACAGGAUUAGAAACCCUAGUAGUCC